rnacentral:rRNA from 1 species
AAGGAAGGCAGCAGGCGCGCAAAUUACCCAAUCCUAAUACAGGGAGGUAGUGACAAGAAAUAACAAUACAGGACUUUUUGGUUUUGUAAUUGGAAUGAGUUAAGUAUAAACCCCUUUACAAGUAUCAAUUGGAGGGCAAGUCUGGUGCCAGCAGCCGCGGUAAUUCCAGCUCCAAUAGCGUAUAUUAAAGUUGUUGCAGUUAAAAAGCUCGUAGUUGGAUUUCUGUUAAUAAUUUAUAUAAAAUAUUUUGAUGAAUAUUUAUAUAAUAUUAACAUAAUUCAUAUUACUAUAUAUUUUAGUAUAUGAAAUUUUACUUUGAGAAAAUUAGAGUGCUUAAAGCAGGCAUAUGCCUUGAAUACUCCAGCAUGGAAUAAUAUAAAAGAUUUUUAUCUUUUUUAUUGGUUCUAAGAUAAAAAUAAUGAUUAAUAGGGACAGUUGGGGGCAUUUGUAUUUAACAGUCAGAGGUGAAAUUCUUAGAUUUGUUAAAGACAAACUA